CAUCUCUUCCAGAGGUGUAUUGGAGGUAGUAUCUGCCCAAUGAGGAAUUUAAUGGCCGCGGUAUUUUGACCGUGCAAAGGUAGCAUAAUCAUUUGUCUUUUAAUUGGAGACUUGAAUGAAUGAUUUGACGAAAUAGAAGCUGUCUUGGGAUGAUGAGUUGAAUUUAAUUUUUGAGUUAAAAAGCUUAAAUGAUGGUAGAGGACGAGAAGACCCUGUAGAGUUUAAUAGUUAUAUGUUGGAAUUUUUGGGUGAGUUAAGGUUUAAGUGUAGAACUAUUUGGUUGGGGUGAUGAUAAAAUAUAUGAAACUUUUAUAGAAGGAGUUAACUGGGAAAAUUGAAGGAAAUUAAUGUGAUCUUGUAGUAUGGAUUAAAAGAAUAAAUUACCUUAGGGAUAACAGCGUAAUUUCAUUUGAGAGUUCAUAUUGAAAAUGAAGUUUGCGACCUCGAUGUUGGAUUAAGAAUAUUGC
rnacentral:rRNA from 1 species